rnacentral:rRNA from 1 species
GACAGAGGGUGCAAACGUUGUUCGGAAUUACUGGGCGUAAAGCGCGUGUAGGCGGCCCGGAAAGUCGGAUGUGAAAGCCCUGGGCUUAACCCAGGAAGUGCAUUCGAAACUCCCGGGCUUGAGUUCUGGAGAGGAAGGCGGAAUUCUCGGUGUAGAGGUGAAAUUCGUAGAUAUCGAGAGGAACACCGGUGGCGAAGGCGGCCUUCUGGACAGUGACUGACGCUGAUGCGCGAAAGCUAGGGGAGCAAACAGG